rnacentral:tRNA from 1 species
ACCCGGAUGGCGGAACUGGUAGACGCGCUAGACUCAAAAUCUUGUUCUCGCAAGGGAGUGCAGGUUCGAUUCCUGUUCCGGGUACUA